GGUGCCUACGGGGCGCAGCAGUGAGGAAUAUUGGUCAAUGGUCGGGAGACUGAACCAGCCAAGCCGCGUGAGGGAUGAAGGUACAGAGUAUCGUAAACCUCUUUUGUCAGGGAACAAAGGCGGGGACGCGUCCCCGGAUGAGUGUACCUGAAGGAAAGGCAUCGGCUAACUCCGUGCCAGCAGCCGCGGUAAUACGGAGGAUGCGAGCGUUAUCCGGAUUUAUUGGGUUUAAAGGGUGCGCAGGCGGUCUGUUAAGUUAGCGGUCAAAGGCUGGGGCUCAAACCCGGGCGGUGGUUGAAAAUGGG
rnacentral:rRNA from 1 species